AUCCAGCUGACCAGUCUACAAUAAGACGAAACACGCAUCCUAGAU
rnacentral:hammerhead_ribozyme from 1 species